AUCGGAAUUACUGGGCGUAAAGCGUACGCAGGCGGUCUGUUAAGUCAGAUGUGAAAUCCCCGGGCUUAACCUGGGAACUGCAUUUGAAACUGGCAGGCUAGAGUCUCGUAGAGGGGGGUAGAAUUCCAGGUGUAGCGGUGAAAUGCGUAGAGAUCUGGAGGAAUACCGGUGGCGAAGGCGGCCCCCUGAACGAAGACUGACGCUCAGGUACGAAAGCGUGGGGAGCAAACAGGAUUAGAUACCCUGGUAGUCCACGCUGUAAACGAUGUCGAUUUGAAGGUUGUGGUCUUGAGCCGUGGCUUUCGGAGCUAACGCGUUAAAUCGACCGCCUGGGGAGUACGGCCGCAAGGUUAAAACUCAAAUGAAUUGACGGGGGCCCGCACAAGCGGUGGAGCAUGUGGUUUAAUUCGAUGCAACGCGAAGAACCUUACCUACUCUUGACAUCCAGAGAACUGAGCAGAGAUGCUUAGGUGCCUUCGGGAACUGUGAGACAGGUGCUGCAUGGCUGUCGUCAGCUCGUGUUGUGAAAUGUUGGGUUAAGUCCCGCAACGAGCGCAACCCUUAUCCUUUGUUGCCAGCGAUUCGGUCGGGAACUCAAAGGAGACUGCCGGUGAUAAACCGGAGGAAGGUGGGGAUGACGUCAAGUCAUCAUGGCCCUUACGAGUAGGGCUACACACGUGCUACAAUGGCGCAUACAAAGAGAAGCGAUCUCGCGAGAGUCAGCGGACCUCAUAAAGUGCGUCGUAGUCCGGAUUGGAGUCUGCAACUCGACUCCAUGAAGUCGGAAUCGCUAGUAAUCGUGGAUCAGAAUGCCACGGUGAAUACGUUCUCGGGCCUUGUACACACCGCCCGUCACACCAUGGGAGUGGGUUGCAAAAGAAGUAGGUAGCUUAACCUUAGGGAGGGCGUUUACCACUUUGUGAUUCAUGACUGGGGUGAAGUCGUAACAAGGUAACC
rnacentral:rRNA from 1 species